UUUUGUGCUCUACAUGGACCAAGAGAAAAAUGUGUUGAAAUUCUGAGGAGUGGCCACUUGUUAGCUAUCUCACCAGGUGGAGUUCGAGAAGCCCUAAUUAGUGAUGAAACUUAUAACAUCGUAUGGGGUCAUCGCAGAGGCUUUGCUCAGGUUGCAAUUGAUGCAAAAGUGGCUUUGACUGGAAUGGCAUGCUUUCACAUAUAAACAUCCUGCUCUAAGGAAUCAAAGUUGACUUAUAGAGCUAAUAAAAGCCCCUUGGAAAAACUAGCUUCAUACCUUGCCUAUGCAUUCCCUGUACAGGAUUCUUGACCUGUGUAUCAAGAUUAAGACAAAAAGGUUGCCCCCUUCAGCAUGUCGAGUCAUGUGAGGGUGGCUACCCUCUGGGGCUGCAGCUUUCUCACUUUGGAAGACUUAUGAGUUUUUUCCUGUGCCCUGUACAGUGAAGAACAAAGAAACUAGUGACAGUUUGAUGAGAAACAGAUAUACACAUAGCUUCAAAGAAUCUCUCCAUAAAGUACUUAUUCAUUAUAAAAGGAAAAAAAUAAUUUCAUAGGGAAGAAACCUGGUGGAUGACAUCUUAAUCAAGUGAUCAAAGUUACCACCACGACUAAUGACACAAACCAACAUUAUAUGCCUCCUGAUGUGAUGUGACAUGCUAGAAAGAAAACAACAUCAUUUAUACGGUAUUUCUGCCAGAGAAACAUAAUCUGCAUUUUCAUGUUAAAG
rnacentral:lncRNA from 10 species